rnacentral:lncRNA from 1 species
GGCUUUUACCUGGUCUGCGAGAAAUCAAACUUUGGGCACAAGUCAUGAAGCCGACAAGCCCGGGAGACACAGUGUCAGAAUUACAAGGUGAGAUCAGCCGCCCGGCCAAGCUAUCUUCUCGCUAGCAGGAACACUACAAGGCCUGUUAGAGAAGAAAGGGUAGAAUCCCGAGAAUGUUUUCCCCACAGUGCUGAUAAGGAGAGACCACUAUCCCAUCUACUGCUACAGCUCUGGAGACAGAGCUCUCCCACCUGUCAUAUAGAACACAAGGACCAAUCUGCAGAGAAAGAGCAUCCAAACCUGAUCCAGUGGACACUGGGGAAAAACUCACCACAGCUGAGUGUGGAAAAACAAGGCCAACACACACAUCUCUGCACAGAUACAUCUCCCAUAAAGAAACUAAAGUGUUAAUUUACAGGGCACUGUUGCAGACCCACUUCAGCUGGAAGCUAGGAACAUGGACAAGGAGCCUCUCUACCACCAAGGGAGAGAGAGGAAUGUGCUCUUGUCCUGGCAUUGCAUCCACAGGAGGGGCAGGAAAUUCUUUGAAGGUCUCGCAUCUGGGGCUCGAUCUCGUGCAGAGGAGCAUUUCCGAAGACACUGGCCGCUCCCACAAUGGCUCCGAAGAACCCAGCGACCAGCGGGUUCAUGAGUUUGUUGGGGCUGUCCACUCGGUACCAGCUGCGCAGGGAUGUCAGGACAAAGAAACAAGUUGCCUG